AUUCACUUUCUAUGACGUCUCGGGGCCUAACAUAGAAACGUGUAGACUACUGCUGCCGGCCCACGGACUGUGCGUUUCAUUGGAAUGAGCUGAGGGAGAUGAAAGGCUAAGCAAACAGAGAAAUCCUUGACUUCAGUAGUCAUGACACCACAUUUCCUGGUCUGACUCAUUAGUGACACAGGAUAAGUAAAUAUAAAGCAUGCUGAGGACAUCGUAGGAGGAACAAAGAUGGUGUAAAUAUACACCACAGAUAGACAAACCAUCUAGCCGAAGGCGCUUUUCAAUUGUACCCGGGCUUCUGUGGUGAGACAUUACAUCGGCCAUUGAGCAGGUUAACAGGGCUGUGACACAGGACUCAACCCCCUAAUUCCCUUUCAACAGCUUUAUAUGUCCUUGGGCUUUGAUGAAGCAAAAUGAUAAAUGCUCUCUAUCCCGCACAUUGACCACCUUCCUCUCCUGCUUACUCCUUCUAUGCCAGAUAUUUAAUUGAAUUUUAUCUUUGUGUGUGUGUGUGUGUUUUACAGGUCUACAUAUGAUGCAGAUUUGUGUUAUUAACAUGUUUUCAUGGGAGGCCCGCUAGGGAAAGAGAGAGAGAGUUUAGCUCGAGUAUAGGAAAACAAAAAGGGGUGGGGGAUUAGAGGUAUGUCAGACCAGCCAUGCAAGAUUUAUCAUCCAUUUAUAUUCUCCCAAACACACACUCAGCACCAUAAUCUAAACACAGGGCAAAGACUCCUAAAUAACCCCACAUGGUCACAUUCACAAUAAAACUUUUCCACAAUAGUUUAGGCACACAUGACUGAGUUUGAGAAAAAAGAAAGGACAAAAAGUUUUUUGUUGUUGUUAUUAUUUUAAAGGUAUUUGUAGACUAAAAACCAUUAAUGGUAAUUUAUUAGCAUUGACAGCGAUUGUAAUCAAACAUGUUUAUUCGUCUGGGUAGUUUAUAUUAAGGAGAGAGGUCAUGAAAAGUUGGUGACAUGUUUAUUUAGACAAAAGAUAACUAGGACAUGUUAAAACAGGUGGAUAAGUAGAAAAGAAAAAGUGUUCCAAUGAGUUUUUUUGAAAUAUGAAGUAAUUCAAAUAUUCUUCCUACUUUGAUACUGGAAAUUAUGGUAAAAUGUUUUAAAUAUCAUUUAUUACCUUUAUUAUUUUUUUAGAUGUUGCUUUGUGUACUUCCAGUUUCGCUAAAAUAUUUCUCCCUCCAUUCGCAUGCUUUUGCGCUCGUAGCCUGAGAUUGUUUUGCUCGGGCCAACAGAUAAAGAUCAUGAUAAUUAAUAUUUCAAACAGUUAUCUAUUCCUCGUGGCAGCUCUGUAUACACAGAGGCAUCCGUGCCGGACCUUUUUUGGCCGCUGUUUCCUCACAGAAAAAGUUGCUCUGUUUUGUUUGUUCUUAAAGGCGAGGCACAGUUGUGCGAGAGUCCGAGUGCAUGACGCAGCACUGCCGCGGGAGGAGAGCGUCGGACACACACAGAGCAAACAAGAUAUUAAGUCAUAAUUGAUUGUGCUGGUGCAAGGUCACCAUGGGCCAACAUUUGCUCGAACAUUAGUUAUGUUCUAUAUUUAUCGUUCUAUGAACGCAGGUAUUAAUCUGCUCAGGGCCUGAUGUGCCCACCAAGUGGACCAGGGGCAACAAUACGCUGUGGUCCCCUAUACUGACCAUCCAGUUUCUCCAGCUCUCUUAGCUCUGUUUAUGUAACAGGCACACAAGUAUUUAGAAAAAUGUGGAAAUUCGAGCGAUUUAGCACAUCCUUGAGAAUCUUUUUUUUUCAUAUUAACAAUGAGUCACAAAUAUUGACCAAGCAAACUCGCAGCUCGGCAAAGCGCCAUAUUGACUUUAAGUUCAUUGUUCUUUCACUCACACCGUUCUCGUGAUGUUGUUUUUGGCUGAACUGCAGCUUAUUUUUUUUGUGAAACUUUCUAAAAAACCCAGUGCAGUGCAAAAUGGCAAAGUUAGAGACUAGCUAGUGAGCACAGCAGAUCAUGUAGCUGCUGAAGAGCCAGAUGUGGCCCUCAAACCCAGCCCCAGUUAGCUCUGGCCCAAUCCAACCCAUACCCAUAAGGCUCUACAAUGUGUAUAGUAAUUGUGGUAUGGUGUCAAAAACAUAUUCGUUUAACCAAAAUACCAAAAUUGCCUGUAGGAGCCUAAAGGUUUUGGGGAAAUCUAGACCAGUUCUGGCCUUGGUAGUCCGGCCUCCAUUAGAAUGAGCGGUUAGGGGAUAAGUACAUCUCAUAUCCUAUGUGCUUUAUGUGUUUCAUACAGCAAAUACACAAACUCACACACCAGUGAACUCACAGUCACAAUGUCACAAAACAGAGUCUUUUUGUGUUGGAGGGAAGAAGCAAAAAAGUCUUUGGCUUUAGAAGAAGCCACCUUGGCAAGUUAAAACUCUUGCGUUCCUAUAACAUAAAUAAUCAUGCUGGAGUUUCUGUCCUGCAUGGAGCGGCCCAGUGGUGGACAUGCACACGGGGCCCCAGCGACUGCUUCCAUGCUGAUGAUUAAAACCAUUCCAGGCUCCUCCAUGUCCACGGCCAACGAACUCCAGGACUACUGCAGGGAGCGUGUCAGCUGCGGUAGGUUUAGAGCAGAGAGCGAUUGGCGGAGGGUACCGUCUGGUCUGGAGUCUCAUUUUAACAAUGAGCGGGACCAGCAGCUCUGUCAAACACAGGGAUCAGAGAGGAAUGGACCAUAACGUCAACUCCGACGAGUCCAAGGUUUGGAUGCUAUUGUAGAGAAAAGGUGUUGGGUAUGUGCUGCUUUGCCAAGUUUACUCGGUCUGGCUUUCUUUUAUUAGCUUGGCAGUUCGCAGAGGCUCGGGCAUUAAAGCUGCACAAGGUAAUGUCUCAUACGGACGGUGCCAAACGGCAGUGAAAAGUGAGGCAAUCACUGCCCGCUGAUCGGGACAGCAAUACAAUAAACAUCAUCUUUGAAAUGGGCUGGUGACUUUGGAAGUGCUGAGGAGUUGCAGGCAUUGUUUGCUUGUCCAAAUUUUUUUUCUGAAUGGAGAAUUUUGUAUUUCACUCACCUUUUAAGAUUCAGUAGUCUGAUAUAUUACUCAUUCAUUUGGAGUUAUGUUUGAUUCCAUCUAUCAAAAAAUUCCUUCUCCUUAACUUUUAAAAGUUAGAGAGAAGGAAGAAUCUGAACCAAAACAACAAGCUGAAAGCUGCUUAAACACUCCAAAGAGUGAAGGGGAUAUUGAGAGUUGGGUAAUAAUCACCUUGUUUUCUCCCAUUAGUUUUUUGUUUGUCUGUUCAUGAGCAGGAUUACACAAAAACUACUGAACAAAUGUCCAUGAAACUUGGUGGAAGGAUUGCACAUGGGCCAGGAAGCCUUAAAUUUUGGCGCACAAUUGGACAAAGGGGCGGAUGCAGGAAUAAAUAGGAUCUUAGGAACCUGUAACUACCACCAAUGUGUAGCUGAGAUAAUGUGAAUUCAGUAGAGAAUCAGUGGUUUCUUAAAAAAUGUUGUAGUGUUUUUUUAGGUUGCAAAUAGAUUCUUAAUCGUCAUGUAAUUUUAAAUAGGAAUUUUCCAUAUUUUUACCCACUUGUCCUCAUUGCUGUCUAACAAAGGGACUAUUUCCAAUUGAAAAGGUUAAUGGUGAGGUCUGUGGACCAUCUAGAGUAACGAGGAUGUUUUUUGGAAAGGCAAAAGGAAGUUGAAUUUAGUAAAUGUCAUUUUUCAAUGAUGUAAGUGCAACAAAUACAAAAUUCCAUUCACAUCCAUUGUAUUGGGCUUGCAGCAAAAACCCCGAAACAUUGGUAGGUGCUUUAGCUCAUGGGAUAGGUGAGAAAAUGUGUUGAACUGACCUUCCAAUUAAAAAAGUAUAUUCACAUAUAUAAGCUCAACAACACGCUCUAAUUAAAGAUGUAGUGAUCAAGUUGGACUUUUGGCCCCUGUGUGUCAGUGUUCUCCUUUGAUUAGCUCUCCAACUCUGUGUCUGGAGACAGUCCUGUGAAAAACACUGUAGGAAAAAAUGUUGAUAGAAAUCAACACACAUCCUGCAUCCCCUCAGAAUGAGUUCCCCAACAUAAACACUAUCAAUUUUCUCCCUGUGUUAGGGCCAGGCUCCAAACUCUGCCGUCUAAUUCUGUUUGUGCCGUUUCUCCCAUCCUGCCCAGAUUUGGCCACAAGUGUCUCCUACUUGGAAACAGGACUGCCUCUUUUUCUCCCUCUCCAUCCCUCUUACUAACCCCAGUUUGUCCCAGAACAUGACCCCGACUACACACAUGACUAAGGACGUGUCUGCUCGCAGGAAUCCCUCCAUUUAGACUGGAAGGUGGGGCCGAGCUCAAGCUAAGCCCACAUUCCUUGUCCUAGAAGGAUUACAGAGCUGAGGAUGAAGUGAAGGACCUUUUUCCCAUUACAUAAUGGCAGUUUUUUUCUUCUUCUUUUCCGAAGAAGAUACGAUCCCACGCUAACAGAGAUGAUGUGCAGACCUGCGGUGGUGUCGAGUGUCAGCAUUAAACCCUCCCAAACCGCUGCGCUCCACCAGCCAACAUCACCACCGUUUCAAUUUGGCCCAGAGCUGUGUGAAAGACGCGAGUUCCACCAUUUUUGCUCCAGCUGUGGUGACCUGUGAGUAACCUGUUGAGGUCGACGAGCGUCCUGCUUCCACUUUUGCGUCAGCAGUUUUGUGUUUCAACGUGGCAUUGUCCCCUCAAACAAAACCAGGUCCAGAAAGAAGUGUUUUCCUACUUUCUUGAACUUGACUGACCUGCACAGAACACUAACCCAUCAACCCCAUUCAACUCAAUUAAGUAUUUGCUUUUUUGUUCUGUGUAGUCAGUAAUUAGUCUGUGGGCCAAAUCUUUGAUGGAAUAUAACUUAAUAUACCCUUUUGGGUUAUUGCAAUAUAGCAUCUUUACUAAUAUAUCAUCAUUUUUGUAUAUAAAGUAUAUGGAUUUUUAAAAAAUAUAUAGGCUUGAACAUAAAUGUCUUAAUAUAUAUAUUUUUCUAAUAUUUUCAUUUUUUUGGAAUAUUUUUUUCUUCAUAGUCUAAGUUAUAGCAACUGAUAACGGGGGAAAAAAACCCUCAAUAAAAUAUCGUUCAUAACAGAAUGACCUUGUAGAAAAUAGCAAGUAUGACUAGAUGAAUAGAUGGCAAAUACAAUUCUUUGUGUAUGUGUCCCAAAAUCUGUUGGAGAAAUGCAAAUGUGCUCUCUGUGUAUCCGUCUCCGUUUUCUCUCUAUUCUUUUUUUCCUAUUGAAAAUGCAAGACAAACAACUUGAUGUGACAAAAGAAAGAAAAAUUGAGAAAAAAUUUAUCAAACUGAUGCAACCACAAACAAUCCAUCCGGAGAGAUAUGAUCUGAAGGGGGCAGUGUUGCGCCUUAUGGCUUCAGUCUGAAUAGAGGACUAAGAGUGUGCAACUGUGAUGAUCACCACGUGUAGCUAUGGAACACCUAAAACUGUCAGUUUGUCGGAAAAAUAAAAUUAUAAUUUCACCCCCCCACACACCUCUCUCCUUCAUUUUUGAUGUCUAAAUUACCAGCAUUUGAUUAUGUCCUAAUUAGCCACUUUGCAUUGAUUCAGAAAUCUGACACAGUCUUUAUGAGUUUACUGACGCUGUGGCGCGACGCCCUCACUGCAUUCACUUUAACCAUUACGAUCUUAAGUACUCCUUCAAAUAGACACAAUGACUCAGUAAACACACACACACACAGUCGGUAGUAAAGUGUUAUACGAGGAUGCUGAUUAAACAGAGUGAAUGUCUGCGUUGUUGUGUGUUAGUAGGAAGUCGGUGAUUAUCUCUCCCAUGUGGGCACGUUGGCUUUGCACAUUGAGUCGUGCACCUGAUGAAAGGUUAAAGGUGGACACUUGAAUACACCGAGGUUGAGGUAUGGUGUGUAGGACGGGGUGUUAAGCAUGCUGCUCUGAGGAUGUGAUUACUUGAUCUCCGGGCGGCUGAGAGGAUUGAAAGGAUGACGGAUGAGACAAAGGAGGUGGCAGGAUGUGAAGAUGUGUGGGUGUAGUUCGUCGUUUUGAGAGAAGUAUAGGUAUUCUUCCAGUGUAUCAGCAUGUGUCCACUUUUAUCUCAUGUUAGCGGCGUGAUGUAAACACUGGUACAUGCUUCGUCACUGUGCACAAAUCAAUGCUGUGUUGACUUUAUGGUGGAAAUUUAAAUUCAAGGCUUGAGCUCAAAAACACAUAAAGAGCUUGGAAGUGGAUAUUAAGUGCAAGGAUACGGGGGGAAGGGAAAGGUCUGUUGAAAUUUGAAAACCUUGAGAAGGAGCUGGGAGAAGAUCCUCCAAGGAAACGUCAUUACAAUGUUUAUCAGUUGAAGAGGACUGGUUCAAGUGUGUGUCACUGACGGAGGUAGAGGUAAUGUAAAAUUUGAAGAUGUCCAAAUACAGUCGUAGUGUUUUUCUUUUCUCUAACCAUAUACAUUUCAAUAGUUGCAUUCAUUUUUCGUAACAAUUUUGCCAUGCAAAACAGUUCAAUGUCAGAAUGAAAUACAAUGAAAAACAACACUAAUCAUUUGCCAUCGGCAGUGAGUGUGAUUGCAGCACACGCAUGCAGUUGAACUGAGGUACGAGUCCAGGAUUCUCCAGACAUGCAAAGCACAGAUGAGAGGAAUAAAUCUUGUCACAAAUUCAUUUCCUGUCUCUGAAAUCAUUCCUGAUUACAGGUGUCUCCUUGGCCAUUAUCCUUUCAAUCAUCGUGCACAAUGAGAGCGGGUGGAAAUGAAAUCAGACCACAUUGUGCUGAAGGCAGAGAGACAAUCACGGAACUGAAGUCGGACUGGAAAAUGGGUCAUUCAUUCAAACAUCAUCCAGCUUUUUCGUAUACAAAACCAUAACUAUCUGUGCAAUCAUUCUUCAACCCCCCCGCUCCUUCCCCUUCCCCAACAGUUCCACUGACAUCUGAAGGUUUAUGAAUCGGACAAGACGAGUCUGAACUGAGUCUCCAUGAAUGUGUCUGGUCUUGACAUUCGAAACAGAAAAUCACAUCUUCUGAGAUACUUCACAUCUGCAGUCUUUGAACAGGACAUUAUAAAAUGUUAUGCAGAUAAGAUACGGCAUUCUCCGAGUGAAAACCUCCUGAAACUCCCCUCAGUAUUGCAUCAUUUCGCCGACGCGUUUGCUUCAUGAGAUUUAAGGCAGAGAAUGUGAAUUAUGGAGCAUGAGUUCUACCCCAGCAUUUGUUAGUUUAAAUGAGUUCCCUUAUUCCUGCCUCUGUAUUUGACAUUAUCCAUUUUGCAUGGUAAUGCUGGGUGUAGGCGUACAACCAAGAAUGAAGCAACUUCCAUAAGAGAAGAACAGUUCUUCAUAAGAAUGUGGAGUAUAAUUCAAGAUUACCUCAUCAAAUAUUAAUAUUCUGUGUAGAGGCAGUUUAACUGCAUAACUUUUACAUUAACACCAAUUAUCGCACCAAUUAUGGUUUGAAUUUGAAUGAGCAACUUUGACCAGUAAGUCUGCAAACACCAGAGGAUUAUUUUUUUCUUUAAAGAAUCCUGAUCCUGACGUGUAAAUUUAAAGAUCAGUAAAGUCAGUAAAGCUUGUUUCUUUUUUUUUUUCUGGAGAAGUUUGAAUUUAGGUUUCAAAGACACAAUUGAAUGCAUGAGAUAAACAAAUCCAUUUACUUUGGUGCAACACCUUAUGCUUCUACGUUGAUGACAUUAAAACAUAUAAGUACAUUUUGUCAAACUGUUAAAUGUCUCUUAAUGUACACUUUUUGAACCAUCUUAAACUUGGGGACAUAUAAAUGUUGGGAAGAGCUAGUAGUUUAAUAUCACAUUAGGAGGUGUGCUUUGUUAUAUCAGCUGUGAUUGGGUUUCCAAAGAACGUGGUUAAAGGAUUAUUGAAAAGGAUAUGGAUUAGACCAUUUCUCUGUACUAAAAAACUGAAAAUUGUUAUUGAUUCAUAACAGUGGAUAUUUACUACUGUAAUUAGCUGCUCUCUGGCAUCAGCGGAUUAAUCUCUUUCCUCCCUCCAGAUCAUCCAAAACAGGAUAUUACCUCGGACCAGCGAACAUGACAACAUUUCUCUGAUCCUGGCUUCUCUUCACUGGCUACCUGUUGCCGCUAUUGAUUUCAAGAUUGUAUUGAUUGCUUACAAAGCCCUGAGAGGCCUUGUCCCAAGCUACUUGUCAGAUUUGCUAUUGCCCUUUGUCCUAUAUCUUCCCGCUCCCUCAGAUCAGAGCAUCGAUCCUUCUUGUUCCAAGGUGUAGAUUUAUAAACAAAGGUGACAGGGGCUUUGCAAUCAGGGUCUCUAGACUUUGGAAUGAGGUAAGGGCAGCAAACUUUUCCACAUCUUUUAAGUCACUGUUAAAAAAAACCAUUUGUUUAAAAUUGCUUCUCUGUGAUUUAACUCUCUGGCACCAUAAUUGAUUUUGCUUUAUUUGUG